CCUACGGGAGGCAGCAGUGGGGAAUAUUGGACAAUGGGGGAAACCCUGAUCCAGCGACGCCGCGUGAGUGAAGAAGUAUUUCGGUACGUAAAGCUCUAUCAGCAGGAAAGAAAAUGACGGUACCUGACGAAGAAGCCCCGGCGAACUACGUGCCAGCAGCCGCGGUAAUACGAAGGGGGCAAGCGUUAUCCGGAGUUACUGGGUGGAAAGGGAGCGUAGACGGCAGCUAAAGUCGGGGGUGAAAUGCCGGGGCCAAACCCCGGGACUGCUGUGGAAACUGGUAAGCUGGAGUGCAGGAGAGGUAAGCGGAAUUCCUGGUGUAGCGGUGAAAUGCGUAGAUAUCAGGAGGAACACCGGCGGCGAAGGCGGCUUACUGGACUGUAACUGACGUUGAGGCUCGAAGGCGUGGGGAGCAAACAGGAUUAGAUACCCGAGUAGUC
rnacentral:rRNA from 1 species